rnacentral:lncRNA from 1 species
GCCGGUUCUCCAAACUACUCAACAUUUCCGCUACCGGUUCUCCAGAACUGGUCAGAACCUGUGGAAUACCACUUCUGGGUUUGACGCUGCCUGGGUGGCUUCAUGUGCUGUGAGAAAGCGGUUGAGACGAAGGCUUUGAUUUUGAUGGGAAGAUCAUGUAUGAAUCUAGUCAGUUGUGGUUUAUUCAAUAGACCGUGCUUAAGCCAUGGAGGAAGGUCAGCUUUAAAUAUUAGAGCUGGAAGCUUGACAAUCCCACCUGCGCUCCUCUUGAUGAUUUUACUGCAUAUUUGUGUCUAAAGAAUGGACAUAUUCAAAGUUUAUUGAGGUCCUUUGGCACUUUGGUUGCUUGAAUGUAAGGCAGGGUUUGAACCCUCGAAUGAGUAAUUCUAUCCAUGGGUAAAGAGAAACCAUACGUGGCCCACGUUGACGUGUUUCUUGUUGUAAAGAAAGAGGUCACUUACGGUAGUAGCGAUGUCGGUCUUCUUUCUUGAUCAGAGGUCUGCAACCUUGGCAACUUUAAGACUUGUGGACAUCAAGUCCCAGAACUGAUGAGGAAUUCUGGGAGUUGACGUCCACAAGUCUUAAAGUUGCCAAGAUUGGAGAUCCCUGAUCACAUCAGCAGAAUGUAAGCAAUGACUUCUUGGCUUGGACCCCUAGUCCAUCUAGUUGAGCAGGCUGUGGUCACAAUGACCAGCACAACUGCCCAGGAAAGUCCACUAAUCUCCUAGCUGAUGGUCUUCAGAGGUAUCCCCACUGCCAUCACGGCUAAUAGCCUCACUGCUUCUGACAGUUGCUGCAAUUCUUCCAUUAUUAUUUUCAUUAUUAUCCCCGUGGUGAUAACUUUCUUGUCCCUUGACUUUCCAAUCUGCAACCUGUUCUCCAGGGAAAAGACUAGAGUGGUUCACAGUGAUUCCCUCCGCAGAUUCACAGAAGUAAUCCCAACCCAGUUCAUCUGCCUUCGGCCCCCUGGAUACAUGGAUGCAAGUUGAAACCACUGCUGUGAAUUAGCUCUCUUUUGUUGGUACCUGUCUGUAAAAUUGGUUCCCUCUGCUUCUAGAAAUGCGAGCUUUUCUACAUCCCAGUCAGAAGCUGUACGAGACACGGCUGGCUGACCAAGCUAGCACAGAGCCUGCGCUGUUAUUUCCGGGACUGCUUAAAUGAAAAACCCAAUUAUUGCCAGUUUAUAACAUUGAUCUACACUGGGUAAAAUAUGUGAUGGGAAAAACAAGCCCUUGGAGCUGCACUUCUUUUAUUUCUUAAAAAAAUAAUAAUAAUAAUAAAUCUUCACCAACUCGCUUGUUUGUUCCUUUCGUGAUAAAAAUCAAGAAAUGCCCAAGACUGUCAGCGGUUCUGUCUGGUACAUAAACAGAAGAAUAUUAUUUUUAUUAGCUGCUAAGCCGCUAUAAUAACAAGC